GCAACAUUUAUUUGCAUAAGCUUAAAACUAAAUGCGAGAGAAAUGCAAUGUUCGCCGAGCUUUCUCCUUUUCCGUAUUUUCCUACAAUAUACAGUACGAACUUAUGUUUUAGCAGACACUUUAUAGUUGACGCAUGAAAACCUGUAUCUCUAUUUUACCGACGUUACUUUUCAUUAAAAUUGACGGCAUUUUAACGGGGAUCACAAAGUAAACUGCCAC
rnacentral:lncRNA from 1 species